rnacentral:rRNA from 1 species
UGCGUAGGUGGCCUUUUAAGUUGGAUGUGAAAUACCCGGGCUUAACUUGGGGGUGCAUCUAAUACUGGAGGGCUAGAGUGCAGGAGAGGAAAGCGGAAUUCCUAGUGUAGCGGUGAAAUGCGUAGAUAUUAGGAGGAACACCAGUGGCGAAGGCGGCUUUCUGGACUGUAACUGACACUGAGGCACGAAAGCGUGGGGAGCAAACAG